AACGAACGCUGGCGGCAUGCCUAAUACAUGCAAGUCGAACGAGAUCUUCGGAACUAGUGGCGCACGGGUGCGUAACGCGUGGGAAUCUGCCCUUUGGUUCGGAAUAACUUCUGGAAACGGAAGCUAAUACCGGAUGAUGACGUAAGUCCAAAGAUUUAUCGCCAGAGGAUGAGCCCGCGUAGGAUUAGCUAGUUGGUGAGGUAAAGGCUCACCAAGGCUACGAUCCUUAGCUGGUCUGAGAGGAUGAUCAGCCACACUGGGACUGAGACACGGCCCAGACUCCUACGGGAGGCAGCAGUAGGGAAGAUUGAACAAUGGGCGCAAGCCUGAUCCAGCAAUGCCGCGUGAGCGAUGAAGGCCUUAGGGUUGUAAAGCUCUUUUACCCGGGAUGAUAAUGACAGUACCGGGAGAAUAAGCCCCGGCUAACUCCGUGCCAGCCGCCGCAGUAA
rnacentral:rRNA from 1 species